GGACGAAUUGCACGAUGUCCCGUGCGCACUGUCGGCCCGAUCUGUCGCAUAAUCGCACUUCAUCGCCAUCUAGUGCAUUCAUCUCCGAGAAGUCGGCUCCACCUUGUGACAACAUUGAUCUAUUAAUAACAUGAUGAACACAUACUCACCAACCCCGACUAUGAUGAUCGACAUUGGAAGAUGAGAUGCAGCAACAAUCGCGUCCUUGGUUUGCACGAAGUCCGAUAUCACACCGUCCGUAAGAAUAAGCAAAAUGUAAUAAUUCUGUGGGUUCAAGAGAUUGCAGUAAAGGAGCAAAUCCAUUUCAAAA